rnacentral:rRNA from 1 species
CCUACGGGUGGCAGCAGUGAGGAAUAUUGGUCAAUGGCCGGAAGGCUGAACCAGCCAAGCCGCGUGAAGGACGAAGGUGCCAAGCAUUGUAAACUUCUUUUGUCAAGGGACAAAAUCAGACUCUAGAGCCUGACCGAGGGUACUUGAAGAAAAAGCAUCGGCUAACUCCGUGCCAGCAGCCGCGGUAAUCCUGAGGAUGCGAUCGUUAUCCGGCUUUAUUGGGGUUAAAGGGUGCGUAGGGGGAAUGUUAAGUCAGCGGUAAAAUCCCGGGGCUCAACCCCGGCGAGCCGUUGAAACUGGCUGUCUUGAGAUGUCGAGAGGUAUGCGGAAUGCGCAGUGUAGCGGUGAAAUGCUUAGAUAUUGCGAAGAACUCCGAUUGCGAAGGCAGCAUACCGGCGGGGAUCUGACGCUGAGGCACGAAAGCGUGGGUAUCGAACAGGAUUAGAUACCCGUGUAGUC